UUAACUAGUAAAAGCUGUAAGACGAGGUCGCCAAUGGCAGAGAAUUGAAGAAAAGAGCAACAGAUUAUUGAAAACCCUAAUUGAUUGCUUUAGAUUAAGCCUCGGAAGACGAAGAAGAAAACGAAGAAGGAUGGAUCAAGUCAGGUGUGGAUAGAGAUUGAAUUUUGGAUUUGAAAAUGCGAGAAGACCUAAAUCCAAAAGCUCAGCGGAGAGC
rnacentral:misc_RNA from 1 species